CAUCUGUAUCUUUUUGAUACGCCAUUCGAAACGAAUGCAUUUGUUCGAUAAUGGGAAACCAGUCUGAAACUGGGGUUUAAGACCCUCAAUAGACUAAGAAAAUGUGGACAAGUCUAAGGAUGUUUGAGGCGUGCUUUACAUCUGAUAUUUAGAUUAUUCACAUGGUAUUAUUCUGUGCUGCUACCAAAUAAAUCCCCAUUCCGACGACUGUCGACUGUCGGUAUUCAUUUCCCACACCGACCGGCACCGCCAUCAAAAUCGGCCGCUCAGCGCGUGCCGUCGGCAUCUGAAAGGGCAACGCGACGAAAGAAGACACCAAUAUAGCCACGCACACCAAAUCGAAGUAACUGUAAACGAUUUAAGUGCAUGGGCGAGCGAGCGAGCGGAGAAGUUGACUCUUUGCACUGACCUGCCCCUCCUUUUCGCUUGCAUGGGGUGGGAGGGGGAACUUUGCGAGUGUUGCAGAAAAAUCAUAAAUGCAAACAAUAAAAUUGAAAUAUAUGUACGUAGGUGCACGCUGCACGUAGCAUGCACACACAGAUGGCGACAGACGAGUAUGAGUGCGAUCAAUUAAACUGAUUGAAUCACUUUUAAAUGAAACGCCUUGGCCGUGUCAGUCAGCGACUCGUCAGUGGGAGGGAGGCAGGGAAUUGCGUGUUGCGCGUGUGUGAGUGUGUGUAUACGAUGAUGUGGAAAGUGAAAAGGGGCUUUGAUCUCGUCUCGCGUCAGGGGGCACAGUGAAGACAAGCAGAUAUGCUCGAA